rnacentral:misc_RNA from 1 species
GGAAGGAUCAUUACCACGUUCCAAACGUAUCCACCCCGUGAAUUGUUUUCUCUCCCAUCGGACGAGCAUGAGCUGACCAAGCAGUCGUGGUGCGCGGAGUCGCUAGCAAUAGCGGCUUGUCGUCUGCUUUGGCUAACUGAGUCGCAGGCUGAAACAUGUCGGCGGCUCGACGGCUGCAGCUCGCUCCGGUGGUUCGCCUCUAGGCCGCUCCGCCGCCAUCGAGCAGACUAGUGGGCAAUUGUUACUAACCCUAUUCACCGCUCCUUAUAGUUGCUGUUCUGUCUGUCCUGCUGAAAAGUGGAGCGCAGACACGUUUAUUACUUAAACGUUAAAUUCACCUAUACAACUGUUAGCAAUGGAUGUCUAGGUUUCCGCAACGAUGAAGACCGCAGCAAAGCGCGAUAUGUAAUGCGAAUUGCAGAAUACAGGAAUCAUCAAAUUGUUGAACGCAAAUGGCGCUCUUGGGAUAGCCCUAAGAGCACGCCUCUCUCAGUAUCGGUUUACAAACAAUCAGCAGCGUGGGGUGUAGUGGUCGAGCCGCCUCGGCGGCUAGGGCCUAUGCUCGGCGUGUUGGCUGGAGAAUGAGAGUCUGAGUGCGAUUGUCAUUCAGUCUCUUGAAAUGAAUGGAGUGUGCGAGGAACGAGCGCGAGCGGCUUCGGCUGCUUGUGUUUCGGCUGCUUGGCACGAGUGACGUGAAUACUGGCCCUUGCGGUCUCUACUCUUCGUCUGUCUCGUGUCGUCGGCAGCCGUUCGCUUCGCUUGCACAUGUGGGCACACCAUAGGGCUCGCGCACUAAAACAUGCGUGCGACCACCCUCAACCUUUGAUCUGAGAUGAAGCGAGAAUACCCCCUGAAUUUAAGCAUAUUAAUAAGGGGAGGAAAAGAAAGUAAAAACGAUUCCCCCAGUAACGGCGAGUGAAGCGGGAAGAGCUCAAUAUGAAAAUCGAUUACCCAAGCGGGUCAUCGAGUUGUAGUCUUUCGACGUACUAUCAGCGGGAAGUUGGGUAGAAGUUCUUUGGAAUGAGAUCGCAGAGAGAGUGAUACGCUCGUAUUCGAUCCAAAGCUUUCCGCGUACGAUGUGCGUUCGUCGAGUCGAGUUGUUUGGGAUUGCAGCUCUAAGCGCGAGGUGGAUUUCUCGUAAGGCUAAAUAUCAGCGGAAGACCGAUAGCGAACAAGUACCGUGAGGGAAAGAUGAAAAGAACUCUGAAGAGAGAGUGAAAAGUACCUGAAAUUGCUAACAGGGAAGCGAUGGAAACCAGUGGCUGCGUCUGUGUUUUCCGCCGUCGUUCCUUGCUCUUGUGUGUACAGCGUGGGCAACCCGCUGUGCGUGCGUGGGGCGAGCGGACGGCGGCUUCGAAUGCAGGCCGAGUCAAGAUCAAUUCGGCGUGUGGGAGAAGGUGGCGAGAAAGGUAGGAGAGCAAUCUCUGUUAUAGUCCCGUCGCUCUACCUCGCGCUGGAUUGAGGAAGGAAUGGUGCGCUGCUUGCGGCUUGGCCGCGCGUUCCUCGCGCCUCAGCUGCCCUGAUCGCAAUGCUAUCUGGGUGGGGAAAGGUUCGACUGGGCGUGCGCGUCCUAUGUGCCAUCACGAUCUUGUACGAAAUGGUUUCCAUCGACCCGUCUUGAAACACGGACCAAGGAGUCUAACGUAUAUGCGAGUGGUUGGGUGUGGAAACCCGAGCGCGGAAUGAAAGUAAAGGCAGCCUCGCGCUGCUGAGGUAGGAAUCCGGCAACGGAGGCACUAUCGACCGAUCAUCACUUGUGAGAGAUUUGAGUAAGAGCAUAUCUGUUGGGACCCGAAAGAUGGUGAUCUAUGCCUGAACAGGGUGAAGCCAGGGGAAACUCUGGUGGAGGCUCGUAGCGAUACUGACGUGCAAAUCGUUCGUCUGAUUUGGGUAUAGGGGCGAAAGACUAAUCGAACCAUCUAGUAGCUGGUUCCCUC